ensembl:lincRNA predicted gene 4890
UUUUCCCCCCUGGAAUGCGUCCUGGCUUCGGCUGGCCCGGCCCAACCCUUAGGGGCCGCGGUGCCCAGGCCCACUCCUUCCGCGCCUGGAAACGUGAGACGGGUCCCUGAGGGCGACGUAGACAAACUUUGCAGAGCACGUUGCCACCUGUUGGAGUAGCCGCUCCCGCCCCAGUCGAAAUGCACGGCUGAACAAGGGCAGUUCUGGUGGCUCAAGGGCCCACUUUCUUUAAAACUGAUGGCACUCGUAGUAAUACUUCGUUAACAUGCCCCACAUCCAGAGGCCUGUGCUCACCACCUCAGCAGUGCCCGGGGAGGUUCGCCUGGCGUGGGCAGGCUCUCCGGUUCUACCUUGCACUGGGGCUGAAUGAGAAUUACAUGGGAAUCUCUUAUUGUAAUGCAUGAACAUAUUUCACAAGAAAAGGGGACAAGACUGGACUGCUGACUGUUCCUUCUUUGAUCUCAGGCAUGAUUUCAGCUUGUAGAAUAAAUGAGAAAUGCUUGUUGGUUUAAUUAAAAGAACCGCAUUGGCUGUACUAGCCUGCCUGCCUUUUGGUGCCCAAGCAAGUGUAUUGAUAAAGGAAUCAAAAGCUGCACGCUCAAUUGUCCCAGGGUUUUCUCAUCUAUCUUGACAGCUUUUGAGAAUAUGAGUCAAUUUCUCAAAAGCGGUUUAUUGUAAGCCUUGAAAUAUCCAGUUUCCUACCUGGUACCUUAAAUCAUUACUUUUUCCGUAGGGAUAACUGGUGAACUAUUUCCAAAAUAUAUCCUUCUUGUACAUUGACUCAAAUAGCUGAUUGGGAAGAAGCCAGCUCUCUCCUGUGGGAUGCUGGCUGGCCUCUGAGGUGGGCCCUGGAGCUACUGCCUGGGGAUCAAUGUACUACUGCAAUACAGACUCAGUUCCUGGCCCCUUGGGAUAUACCUCCAACAUAAGACCUCCAGGAAGGAUUCCUGCUUGGCCCAAUCACAGAGACUAGUGGGUGUGGUCAGAAAGCCUGGGGCACAGCCUGUUCUGUCAUUCUACAGGCCAGUUACCACUAAGGCUGAGCUUUAGGGGAAGAGCAAGACAAUAUCAAUGGCUGAGGGUUCACAUGAAGGCAAGACAUGGACAGCUGCUCCUUCAUCCGUGUUUUUAUCCCCAGAGAACAGCUUUGUGAAAGUGCUCUGUGCUCUCAAGCUGUUGCCAGAUGGGUCUGUCUCUUCUGCGUGGUUUUUGAGAGGAAAGUGCAGCCAACAGGAGCCUUAGUAGAAGGCUGCUUGCUAGCAUGAGAAGCAUUUGAUUUCAGCUUGGAAACCAGGGGUGGGGCAAAACCUUUUUACCACGCCACCGCCAUCUCUCCCUCUCUCCCUUUCAGAAAGACAGAUUUAUCCAGUGGUGCAUCCCUGCCUCCAUGUCAGAGUGUAAGCUUUGUCAUAUUCCUGGCUGUUGUUACUAGAAGUUUUUUAAAGAUUUUUUUAUUUUAAGAUUUAUUUAUAGACACUUUUUGCCUGCAUGCACGUCUCUGUGGGUGCUCUGGAACUGGAGUAAGCUUCCAUGUGGGUUGUGGGAAUUGAACCCCAGUCCUGUGGAGGAGCAGCCAGUGUUCUUAAUCGCUGAGCCAUCUCUCCAGCCCCAAUUACUGGAAUUUCAUAUGAAAGCAAAACCACGACAUAAAUCUUAACAAAUUUGAUUUCCACACUUUUUACCUUUUUCCAUUCACCAGAGAUGAGAUACAGGUAUGUAUAUUCACGUUAAAAUAAAAAUGGAAACAAAUCAGAUAAAGGAAAGGAAAUCAAGAUAAUGUUCUCCCACCUGAAGAAACACUUGUAGAGCCAGAUGGAAGCAGAGUAGGACUCUGUUUGUCACCAUCCCCAGGGAACGAAGCAUCAUGGGCUCUGAUUUGUUCACUUGUUUCUUUAUGUGCAUAUGUACAGGUAUGUACACCUGUGCAUGCAUGGAGGCCAGAAGAGAGCAUCCUGUCUCCUUCUCCAUCACUGUCUUAUUCCUCUGAGCCAGGGUCUGUCCCUCAAUCCAAGGCUCUUGGUUUUCUUGGUUAGGCUAGAAGGCAGCAAGUCCCAGCAAUCCCCCAGUCUCCAGCCCCUUAAUGGAUCAGUCUGAGGGUGUAAAGUGUCUGUGGGAUUCAAACUUGAGAUCGUGUAACAAGCGAUCUUAACUGCUGAGCCCUCUUUCCAACUGCUCCCUAUCUUGACAGGAAGAAAAAUCCUAACAUAUACUCUGAGGUCAUGUUGGAACCAUGUGUUUGGAGACAGCAGAGGUUUGGCACAAUCUUUCCAAUCAGGAUGACUAACAGCUGUGAUCAGGGCUCUCUCUUUUAUCAGCUAUAGUAUCAGAAAAGAAAGGACCCUGGCGAGCACAGUGUCUGCCUCAAGCUCUUCAUCUUUUACAUUGUUACAAAAUCUCUGCGGGAAGAUUACACACAGGAUCAUGAGUCCUGUGUGUGAAAUUACAGUGACUUAUGAAUGAUUACAUUCAUCACAAUUAUUGUGAAUAAAAAAUGUUAUGUUUU